rnacentral:rRNA from 1 species
GGGUCAGUAGGUUGGUCGUGCCACCGGUACGUACUGGUCUCACUGAUUCCUCCUUCCUGAAGAACCGUAAUGCCAUUAAUUUGGUGUUGCGGGGAAACAGGUCUGUUACUUUGAAAAAAUUAGAGCGUUUAAAGCAAGCUAACGCUUGAAUACAUUAGCAUGGAAUAAUGAAAUAGGACGAUCGAUCCUAUUUUGUUGGUUUCUAGGAUUGACGUA